GCACCCCCUUCCCAGCUGGCUCCUCAUCAUUGCUGCCCCCUUUAGGGGUCCCCCGGGUGCCCAGGUUUCCUGGCUGAAGGGUGGAUGGGUCCGUGGUGUGGCUGGGCUAUGGGUGAGGAUUGAUCCCCUGGUCUGUCCCACUUGGACUGGUGAGAGUGCAGGGUGAAUCAUAGGCAGAAACCGCCUCCGGCAGCAGCUAACGUGACCUUGUUUGUCCCUCUCAGAAACGACGCGUCGCGGACCUGCUCGCCAACUAUAUCCCUGAGGACGAGGCAGUGCUGCUGAGGAGUGGGAGGUAUACCUGCACCGUGUGUGCCCACCGCCCCAUCUUCGAUACUCUGGAUGUGCUGGCGGUCCACAGGGCUGGCAAGAAACACGUUGCCAGCCUGCAGAGCUUCUACGGCAGGAAGCACUCACUUGAGAACGAGGUGCAAAAGCGACAGCACGAGAAAUUCGUGCGGGCGGAGGAGGCAGGCACACAGGGUGAAUGGAAAUGGCUCAAGAGCAGGUAUGACCCAGACGGAGCUGAGCACCGCCCCUGUGCGAAUCGCUGCCACGGCCUCUCCAGAGCCCAGAGUCCCCUCGCAGAAGAUCAAGGAGGCUGUGGGCACCACCCCAGUGGCCCUGCUGCCAGGGUGCUGUAGCGGGCGAGCAGACGUACCAAAGGCAGCUACCACCCAGACCCAGCAAGGUGGCAAAGGAAAAGCCUCGCCAUCGCCUGCAAGCCAGCCUGAAGCCCUCAACCCCAAGAGGCGCCAGGCCCUGGAGCGGUACCUGCAGCUCCGGAGUGCCGGCUGGAUCCAGGACCACUCUGGCAAGUGGGUGAAGGACGAGAAUGCCCACGUUGAAUCCGCUGAGGAUGAGCCGCCCGUGUUGCUGCCGGCCUGAGGCCUCUCUCUGUCCUGCCGGUCCUCGCAGGGAUGGUGCCCCGGGGAUGCACCCAGCCCUCCCCACUUUCCAUGUUAAUAGAGGCAGCUGGAGGUGAAGGAAGUGUCUGAGCUGUUGGGAAUCUCUUUACGGGGAGGCCCCAGGAUGUGCUGGUGUGAGUGGCGUGGGGAGGAGUCGGGUGGUGUUCAGGGAUCCCAUCAUUCAGGCACCAUGAGGUGCUCAGCACUGUAUGUUUUUUGGGGUGUCCUCACUGUGUCCAGAGCGCUGAGAGCAGCAGGGGAUACUGUCAACCUCGACUCUGGCUUCGGCUCCUCUCCACCCCAUUCCAUCCUGUCCCUGACCCAAGUCACGCUCUCUUUUUUGCCUGCUGGCAGGUGUCUCCAGGUCAUGACCUUUUGGGGUGGCAGCACUGGGCUCCCUCCUCCUCCUUCCCAGCAGCUGUCCUAGUCCUUUGGAAAGUACCUGGCCCUGUUGCCCUCUGCUCCCCCUGCCUCAGUUUCCCCACCCCUCCUUUGCCUGCCAGCACUUAGGUCCUGCAGGUACCCCCACAUCGGGAUGGCACCCAUGGGACUGUUGUUUAAGAGCCUGUUCCCUCCCAGCACCCUGAGCUGGCAACCGCAGCCCUGGAGAAGCACCUGCUGAAGGGUCCAGCAUGGGGCCAGACCCUGACCCCAAGGAGGGCUGUGGGCUCCCUGGUAGCACCGCCCAGGGUGAUGUUACACCUGGGCACUGGGAUCUACCCUUGCCUAUAAAUAGGUGAUGGACUGGGUGCCAGAGCCCUGACAGGAGCCAGGCCAAGCCUGGUACAUGCCUGGGGGCUGUUCCCAGGUCCCUGUGCCCCCCCCCACCUCACUGGCCUCCACAAACCCAGGUGCGUGGCUCUGUGCCAUGGGGGCACCCAGCUCCUCACCAUGGGGGUGCCCCACUCCCCCUGCUCACCCCAGCCCGUAACCCAAUCCCCUGGGUAUAAAUACACCAGCCACAGGGCCUGCUGGCUCCC
ensembl:lncRNA